GAUGAACGCUAGCGGCAGGCUUAACACAUGCAAGUCGAGGGGCAGCAUGAGACGGAGAUUCGUCGAAGUCUUGAUGGCGACCGGCGCAAGGGUGCGUAACGCGUGAGCAACUUGCCCGUUUCAGGGGGAUAACCGGUGGAAACGCCGACUAAUACCCCAUAGUAUCAUUUUAAGGCAUCUUUUAGUGAUUAAAGAAUUUCGGAAACGGAUAGGCUCGCGUGACAUUAGCUAGAUGGUGAGGUAACGGCUCACCAUGGCGACGAUGUCUAGGGGUUCUGAGAGGAAGGUCCCCCACACUGGAACUGAGACACGGUCCAG
rnacentral:rRNA from 1 species